rnacentral:pre_miRNA from 1 species
AGGGGGAGGCCGGAUCCUGGGCUGUGUCCCGGCGCCCUGUGCUCGCGGGCCUGCGCUGUUGGAUUCGCGCUCAUGGCCUCGCAGCCCCCU